rnacentral:misc_RNA from 1 species
UUUCACUCCAUUAAUCUCAACAACAACAAGAAAAGUUUGAAGCUUUCUAUCAGAAAAUCAAAGUGUUGUUGUUUUACUCUCAGUUCUACACAUAGUUGCUGCAAAGACCAAGAAAAACCCCAAAACAAUAGCUACAGUAUCGACCCAGAUCGACAGAAGAACCCCAUAAUAAAUUGGGAAGAAUUUUAUUCUUCUAUUCAAGAACAAGAAGAGAUAACCCAGUACAACGAGGAGGAGGAAGAAGAAGAGCCGGAAUUUGAGCUUCCAGAUCAUUCAGGCAUUAGAACAAACAUGUGGUGGACUGAACUGAAAGCUGCAUUGGGUCAGAGGAUUAAUGUGGAAGGGAUUGUUUCUUCAUUAGGGGUUUUCUCUAAAGACAAGCAUUUGGCGAUCCCACAUGUUAGUGUGCCGGAUAUAAGGUAUAUUGAUUGGGCUGAGCUAAAGAAAAGAGGGUUUGAAGGUGUGGUGUUUGAUAAGGAUAAUACCAUUACUGUUCCUUAUUCUUUGAGCUUGUGGUCUCCUUUAGCUUCUUCUAUUGAUCAGUGCAAAUCUCUGUUUGGUAACAAUAUUGCAGUGUAUAGCAACUCAGCAGGAUUAGAUGAAUAUGACCCUGAUGGUAGAAAGGCCAGAAUUCUCGAACGUGCUAUUGGAAUUAAAGUCAUUAAGCAUGGACUGAAGAAGCCAGCUGGAACAGCUGAAGAA